rnacentral:lncRNA from 1 species
UUUUUGAGUUGUGCUGUGUCAUACACCUAUGGCCUGAUGAGCUGAAACAUUUUGUUUCUUACAUUGCAGAAAAUUAUCUUUUCUGCUUCAUGACUAUAUCGCACUCCUGGGCAUUUUCAGUCUUUCAAGAGCAUCAGUUAAGGUCAUGGAAGCUGUGUGAUUACCUCAUAUAUUAUGAAAUAAAAAGUAACAUCAAGGGUUAUUUUUUAAAUGCUUUCUUAUUUCUGAGUCUGUAGAAUGCUUACAAGUAAGAGAUUUCCAAGAUUUUAACCAUAUCCUAGGAAGUGCAAUAGACUGCUCUAGUUUAAAUCUGUGGCUGCACAGCAAAGGUGACACUCCUGAGGGUCAUCACAUUGCAUGGACAUUCUGGCAUACACAUCUUCUCCAGCUACGGCCCUUUUGCUCCGCUGUGCUGGCAACUGGGAAAGACAUAGCAUGAAAAAACUCUGCUAAGUCUUCCAGUGAAGAAAGAGAUCACUCUUUCCACAGCUUGCAGUAUGCCCUGUGAGCACAAUAAAAAUCUAUUUACAGUGUAUUUUUUAGCAUUACUAAAAUGCAACCAAUGAAAGACUCUAGGGUAUAUCCUACUCUGUGUUGACUACCUCUUCUGUCAAUGCAUAAUAUGAGCUAGGAGAUCACCAUGUUUUCCUAGUGCCAGCAGAUACUGACCUCAAAUAGAAAUAUAUACCCCAGUAAAAUGUGAUUCCAUAUACAUUCAGGCAAGAAAAGUAGCCAUUAGGAAAGCCUGCUAUACACUACAAUGUAUUGAUUGAAACUGCUAUUUUUUCUUCUUGAGACAAGUUUUGUGUUGGUGUCAGGACACCAAAGAAUCAUAGAACUGUAGAAUGGUUAGGGUUGAAAAGGACCUUAAGAUUAUCUAGUUCCAACUCCUAUGCCACGGGCAGGGACAUCUCACACCAGACCAUGUCGCCCAAGGCUCUGUCCAACCUGGCCUUGGACACUGCCAGGGAUGGAGCAUUUACCAAGGAACAUCUUAUCACUUCAUCCUAACAAGAUGACCACAUGAAGAUGAGAAAUCCCUUGACUAGUGCCUUGAUAUUCAUGGUCUGAGAGUCAGAGUUCUCAUUUUGAUAUAAAAAGCACCUAUUUUUCAUAUACUAAUGUCCUGAAUAAAGAUCUUAGGCCACUUUUAUAAUCAUUCUGCAAUUAGAAUUGAACAUUCCAAUGUUAUUAAACUAGCAUAUAUUCUCUGUUGGUACUGAAUGCAAAACAUAAGAAAUACUCUUGAGUCCAGAAGUAAUGUAUAAUGCGAUGGUCUGAUGUAAAAUAAAUUAGGAGUUUCUGCAGGAUCGCUAUAAUGUUCAUCACCCAGAAAAUGCUUUUAUUUAACAGGAUUACAAUGAGAGAGACUUGAAGCAUUACUGAGGAUUUCUUUUUGGAGAAGUACACUUGUAACUUGAAGUCAAAAAGAGGUGUAUCCAUUAGAGGCCAUAUGCUAAACACCUUCAAAAUAGUUUAACUUAUUAUUUAAAUUCAAUAGUCUCUGGCCAAUUAAACAAAUUUAAACUUUACUGAAAGAAAAGCAGCCCUAUUAGAAGUCAGUAUGUCUGCAAUUUUUGGAGGGAUAUAGGUAAGCUAAGUUACAGGUGAACUUACUUAGAUGAGUGCAUCUCUCUAUCAAAAUGAAAGAAUAUUCAAAAUCUGCCAAAAUAAAAUAUGAUAAAAUACUAUUAAAUUAAUUUUUCAUGAUGUGUUUGGCAAUGUUUUAAGUGCUAUGAACAGAUUUUGCCUUAGAGCAAGAAACCUAUUAAGUUUUUGGCCACUCCUGUCACAGCUGAAAUCACAAAGGGUGCAAGAGAUGCUGCAGAAUAUUUAGUCUGCCACAUAAUUCCAGUUAGAUUAUAAUAAUAAUAUUAAUAACAACAAUAAUAAUAGCAAACUGUAUGUAUUUCUUUUAAUGAUGGUAAUGUUUGUUUUUAUUUUAAAUUAAAAGUGGGUAUAAUUUCAACAUAAAUUAUACAAUUAUAUAAAAAAAGUUGCUGUAAAGAAAAUAAGGUUAAAUUCUUAUGCUUCUUUUUGCUGGUAUAAGGUGACAUUGUGAAGCAUUUGUUGUAGUUUGCAACCAAGCUAUAUUCUGACUAUUUUCUCUAAUUUGUGAGAAAUUCUGAUACAUUCCUUCACAAAAGGCAUGCAAGUACAGUUUCUCUUUUUAAAGCAACAGAAGGACAAAGUAAUGAAAGAGUUUAUCAAAUUCACUCUUGAUAAACAAAUCUAUCCUUCCAAAACAGAUAAGUAACAGUCUUAUAGAUAAACUACACAGCAUGGAAAAAAAAAAAAAAAAAAAAA